rnacentral:lncRNA from 1 species
AACGUAGAAUAGCAACAACUUGAUUAGCUAGGCUUUACAAACCAUCAAUUCAAUUCAAACAUAACACCACUUUGAAUACAGUAUAUCUCUUAUUAACCAACACAACUUUAAAUUACCUGGAUUCUAAACAUUUCCUCACACACAAUUACAUAACUAAGAAAAACAUUUUUUUGCAGAGAAAAGAGUACAAAGAGGAAGACUUGAGAAAUGCAGCAACGACACUGCAUCUCGAACGGGGAAGAAAUUUGACCUGCAACACGCAAAAAAAUGAAUAAAUAAACAAAUAAAUAAAAAGUAAAAUUAAAAAAUAAAUAAGGCGAUGUCAACCUUACAAUGAGCUGAGCUUCAUUAAAACCUUACCGAAGAACAUACCUUCCAGAAAACCAAUGCUCAACCUGGAAAUCGACAAUAAUAAUAAAGCUACUGAUGAAUAUAAAAACAUAAUAAUGAGUUUGAGAAUAUUUAUAAUAUGUCUAAUAUUUAUGAUAUGUCUUGAGAGCUUAUAAAUUGUCAAAGUAUUUGGAUAAUUAAGCUUAUAAUUGAGAAUUGUGAUACAUAGAAGGAUAAUAAUCAUAGACGAAAGCAAUGAAAUGAGAAAGAUAUAUAUUAAAAGUAACAAAACUUAGUAGAAUUAUUUUGUAAAUUAAUCGUUACUUAUAAGAUAAUGAAAAUAUAAGAUGGAGUUGGUGAACAUUUUUUUUUUUUGGGAGCUUAGAGGUUAUUUUACAUGUUAUAAGUUAUUCAUGAUUUUAUUAUGCCAAACACUUUUGGAAGAGGUUAAUUAUAAGCUUUUAACGAACAAAUACUAACUACCAAAAACAAAUUAAACAUAAAAAAAAAAACUAUAUAGUUCUGAUGCUAAAUGACAAACAGUUAACUCUAUGAACCAGCUUGGUAAUUACAAAUACGGUGAAAGGUAAUAUUAAAAACUAAUAUUGAAAAUGAGAGAGAAAUGAGAUACCUUUUCUGGGUGGGUGGAGACUAGACUAGUCUUGGAUGAUAAUUGAAUGGACAUGGCUGACUGUCACACCCCAAUUCUUGAACGAAUAAAAUAUAAUCGAGGUGCGACUAAAAUCAUAGAAAUAAAUAAGGAAAGAACCUUG